GGCUGAUCCAAAGGUAGUGAGUUAUCUCAGCUGAUUGUUUAUGGUCCGUUACAGAUUGAACUCCUUGUUCUACUCUUUCCCUCCUUCUCGCUACUGCACUUGACUAGUCUUGA
rnacentral:Y_RNA from 1 species